UACGUAGGGGGCAAGCGUUAUCCGGAUUUACUGGGUGUAAAGGGAGCGUAGGCGGUCUGACAAGUCAGAAGUGAAAGCCCGGGGCUCAACUCCGGGACUGCUUUUGAAACUGCCGGACUAGAUUGCAGGAGAGGUAAGUGGAAUUCCUAGUGUAGCGGUGAAAUGCGUAGAUAUUAGGAGGAACACCAGUGGCGAAGGCGGCUUACUGGACUGUAAAUGACGCUGAGGCUCGAAAGCGUGGGGAGCAAACAGG
rnacentral:rRNA from 2 species